rnacentral:rRNA from 1 species
CCUACGGGGUGCUGCAGUCGAGAAUCAUUCACAAUGGGGGAAACCCUGAUGGUGCGACGCCACGUGGGGGAAUGAAGGUCUUCGGAUUGUAAACCCCUGUCAUGUGGGAGCAAAUUAAAAAGAUAGUACCACAAGAGGAAGAGACGGCUAACUCUGUGCCAGCAGCCGCGGUAAUACAGAGGUCUCAAGCGUUGUUCGGAAUCACUGGGCGUAAGGCGUGCGUAGGCUGUUUCGUAAGUCGUGUGUGAAAGGCGCGGGCUCAACCCGCGGACGGCACAUGAUACCGCGAGACUAGAGUAAUGGAGGGGGAACCGGAAUUCUCGGUGUAGCAGUGAAAUGCGUAGAUAUCGAGAGGAACACUCGUGGCGAAGGCGGGUUCCUGGACAUUAACUGACGCUGAGGCACGAAGGCCAGGGGAGCGAAAGGGAUUAGAUACCCGUGUAGUC